rnacentral:rRNA from 1 species
UAACGAAUAUUCCGCAAUGGGCGAAAGCCUGACGGAGCGACGCCUCGUGGAGGACGAAUUCCCUCGGGAUGUAAACUCCUUUUAGGAUUCAGCAAGCAAGGGUGGCUAAUAUCCAUCUGCGUUGAGCAGGUCCAGAAAAAGCAUCGGCUAACUCCGUGCCAGCAGCCGCGGUAAUACGGAGGAUGCGAGCGUUGUUCGGAAUCACUGGGCUUAAAGCGCGUGUAGGCGGUUCGGUAAGUAUCUUGUGAAAGCCCCGGGCUCAACCUGGGAAUUGCUCGGUAUACUGCCGAACUUGAGGCGGAUAGGGGUGCCUGGAACUCUAGGUGGAGCGGUGAAAUGCGUAGAUAUCUAGAGGAACGCCUGAGGCGAAAGCGGGGCACUGGGUCCGUCCUGACGCUGAGACGCGAAAGCGUAGGGAGCAAACGGGAUUAGAUACCCCCGUAGUCC